UGCUGACUCUGGCAGCACAUGCACUAAAAUUGGACCAACAGAGAGAAGAUUAGCAUAACCCCUGCACAAGGAUGACACAAAUUUGUGAAGUAUUCCAUAUUUUU
ensembl:snRNA U6 U6 spliceosomal RNA